rnacentral:lncRNA from 1 species
CCCAAUGAUGAAAAGAAAAGCCAUACAUCUAGCAAAUCAUUAGAUGUUGCAACUAAACCAAGUUGUAGUUUAUGUGUAAAGCAAUAUAUAUAAUAUGCAUAUAGACAGUCUUUCAAAAGUAAUGCUUGCAAUCCAUUCCAUGCACCCCGCUUGCUACUAGCACCUUCUUACCCUUGCCCUCAGAUAUCUUCAGUUAAAAAAUCAUAUUCCACAAGGACAUUACAUAUUUCUUUUUCAAUGUUACUACUGUAGUUUCCAAGACAUUGACAACCUCAAAAAAAAAAAUGUUAUUGAAUACACCAUAUGCUAGUUAUCAGAUUCAUCAAGUACUUUGUCUACUAAAGUACAAAACUUAUCAUCUCCAAGUUCCUUACGUAUCUUGUUUUGCACUUUGCAAGAAUAUUUAAAAGCUCAUUUUGAAUAUCAGAUGAUGUAUACUUAGCAUAUGAUGGAGCAUUUUUUAAGACAACUUCAACAUUUUCUUUACUAAAUUUUGCUGAAUGCUUUAUCAUCUCUAUGGAAAUUCCUCAAUUUUUUGAUUUAACUAAUUCAUCAUGACCUCUAGAAGUACAAGCUUGCUUUCCUAACCAUCUAACAACAAAAAUUGAGGUCUUCAACCGUAAACUAUCUCUAAAACUUGUUAGCAUUUAUUAACCUAUCAAUGUGUUGAAUUGGGUUCCUUAAGUAGCCCCAACUUUGCAUAUUCUUAUUAUGAUGAGCAUGAAAACCCCCUUCAUACUUUAAAAAGGGGGACCUUUUUUCCACUAUUGACUCUCUUCUAACUUGAAAACCUUCAAUAACGAAUGCACUAUCUUUUACCUCAAAGUACUCAAGCCAUAGAAAUUUUUUGAACUAAUGAUACUGAAAUCUAAAUUCUUGUAUGCCAUCAUUAAUUAGUGGAUAAUCCGUAGUUUAGGCUGACAUGGUUCCAUCUUGAUGUACUCCCUUUGAAUAUCAUUACAUUGCCCUUUUUAAUGACGUAAUCCAAGAUCAUGUUCUAGAUAAGUAUUCUAAUUUCUUCAAUGUCAAACCUUUGAGACAUAAAAGUGUAUUGCCCACUAGAAUUUGGCGUACUAACUUGAGAUAGAGACAAAGACUUGGUGAAUGAUUGAUUGUCACCUACUCUCUCGAAAAAAUAAAUUUUUUUGGCUAGUUUAGCAUUGAAUCUAUAAUAAUAACCCAUUAAAGAAUUAUUAAUUAUUUUAGGGAAAAUAUCCACCGUCCACCCGUUUUUUCAAUUUUUUCAAAAAUACACAAUUUUUUUUUUAUUGGAAUCCACCUAAACUUACAUUUUGUUUCACUUUUCUACUUCCGUUUGGAAUCCGCUAAGAAAACUAACAGAAACUUUAAAAAAUGACAAUUUUACCCCCAAAACGAAAAUUACAAUUUCAACCUAAAAAAUACCAAAAAUAAUUAGAUUUAAUGAUUAAUAUCAUUAUUUGUACGUUAAUGAUGCACAAAAAAAAUCUUAACUACUAGAGAUUAUAACUCAAUAAAUAAUAAAACUGUACUUAUCUUAAAUUCAAUUAAUGGUUUGCGAGAUUUAGCUAUUUUUAAUACUAUUGUUAUAAUUUAGCAUUCUAAUUACAGACAUAUUUAAAAAAAAAACCCCGUAUUUGAUGGUUGU